ACAGAAUCAGUGUGUGUCUUUUCAUAAGGUUUUACAACGGUUUAUUUUUUUACAAGGUUUACGUGUCUCAAAGCACACUGUCUUCCCGGUUAUGUAAGUUAAGAAAUACCAGUUCACCCAAGUUGCUUCUAGCCUACUGAGAUCCAUGUGACAUUGGAGGAGAUCUUUAAGAUGUUGAGUAUGCAGCACUAGCAAUGACAAACUGUUUUCUCUGACAAAUGAGUGCCUGAGUGAGUUUGUCUAGUUUUUCUCACUCUGUGUCAGUCAUGUCUACAACUCAGUGUUUAGAUCUACAUAAACUAUGUAUUUUCAUGCUAAAAACCCACAGAGAGUUCCUUUGGGAUCGUAUACAACAAGAUAACCGUGUUAAUGGCACCUUUAGAUCACCAUUAGGCCUUUGCACAGCAUUAUCAACCCUCUGAGGACAGAAGGCCAUGCCUUUUGAUAAGUUACUUAGCUCUAGAAAUGACACAGAACUAUUGUUAAUGUAUAGAACACUUCGUUGUGUAAGCUUCAGUGGUACAGAUGAACCAGAAUGAAUGUCUUAUCUGCUCAGAAACACUCCUUCAAUGUUACAUUGGAUCAUGCUGCUAAUGUAACGUGGGAUACAACUUUUCAUGGUGCUACAAACUUCUCUGUCUUGUUCAGUUGUAUUUUUUUAUCCAUAGGAAAAGGACUGCAUUAGGUGUAAAGGUGUACAAUAUAUUUUUAUACUGUGACUUAAUAUGUCAUUAACAAACUUUUACACCACCACAGUGUAUUUGUGUGCACUUGCAAAAGGAGAUCUUGGACGUGCAGAUGUUACCAGAACAAACCCAGCUUUUGUCCACAAGGUGACUGUAACUCAGAAUGGAAAGUGGGCUUUAUAAAUAGGGUGUGGAGUGAAGAACAUGCUGUAAAUUACUAACAGCCCUUUGAAUUUAACAAAAACUGGGAAUCCAUUAGGAAAUGGAUUGCAUCAUGCCUGACCAUAAGCUGGACUGCUGAAAUUAUAUUUUUAGCUAAUGAAAAAGUGUUUGGACUAGUACACUAAAAAUGUUCUAAUGGUAAAGUUUUGAGUCAAAAUAGAAAAGAAAAAAAACCUGCAUUCCAGACUGAAUUUUGUAUAUUUUUAUUGCAUUUAAAAUUGCUCUUCUGUGAUAUUGGGAAAUCAAGUGGCUUAUCAUGUAUAUCAUGUACUUAAAAAUGUAUUCACAAACUACUGUUGUAUUUGUAUAAAAUAUAGAUAAAGAUCAUAUUUUUGUGUGUGUGUAUAAGCUCUGUAAAAUAGCAAUCACAUUUUGGAGCUGCAGUGAUACUACAUUUUAAACAUUCACAUCCAAAGAAGCAGGCUAUUUAUUGUCCAGGUACUCAGAUUUAAAAUAUUCACUUGCUGCUAAUUAAACAAUAAUAGUACUGCAGCUUCUUGUGGCC
rnacentral:lncRNA from 1 species